UGGGCCAAGGCCGGUGAGGGCCUCAGAGGGGCCUCACUCCUCCGGGCCCCCCAGCCUCCAUCGCCGGGCUGAGGGGGCCGCUGGUGGAGGAGCUGAGGGCUCAUGCAUUCCACGCAGUGCCAGUGUCUGGCUGGUGACACCUCCCAGUUUCUUGUGAGGAACCACUCUGGCUCUUUCAGGAAAGGGAGUUCUUGAAUUCCCUCUCCCUUCUAGGGAGCUCCCAGCCAGAGGGACAGCUCAGCACCCCCACCCCUGCCCUCCACCCCAGCUCCUCCCGAGCUCCCAGGAAGGUGUGGGCUGAGAGAAAGAAACUCAUUAGCAAAAAGUGCUGCCUCCUACAGCGACACCAGCUGCUGGUCAGACUGGGGCAGCCAACACCACCAUCUGAAGCUACCUUUGGACCACCUACUUGGAUGAGAUUUGUGGUUGUGCAGCCAUGCUACUUGUGCCGACAUAUUUCCAUUUGUCUUUCAACAGUCAACGUUAUUAGAAGGGCCAUAUUUGUACACGUGCUCAUGGGAUACAACUCUUCUCUCUGCCCCUCUCUUACCCCCUCCGCCAGCUAUGCUCCUGCUUGGAACCCCACGCCACAUCUCAUCAAAGCAAUGCCAUGGGCAACCUGUGGACAAAGCUGGAUAUUGCCUCUGAAUAAAAGCUAAUCAUGGAUGGAA